rnacentral:lncRNA from 1 species
GCAGUAGUGAGUCCAAGUAGGGAUAUGCAUAUUGUAAAUCUACUGAAAUUUGCCAUGAAGCUAAGUCUUUUGACUGGCUGAGAUCAUACUAUUUCUGUACAGUAUUCAAAUUAUAUGUUUUUGUCUUAGAGUUUAAUUCUCUUUUUUUAUCUGAUUAUAGUUCCACCAAGCACACCAGGGAAUAUUUCCUGCAUUUACCAUUACAAUGUUAAAUUUACUUGCAGUUGGAUUCCAGGAAACGAAACCUAUCUUACAACAAAAUAUACUCUUAUUAGAAAGCUACCCAUUUUUAUGGCGACAUCUUGUGAUGAUAAUUGCCCAAGAACAAAUCAGAGUAUAUGCUAUUUUUUUUAUCCAUUCCUUGAUCGAGACUAUAUUAAUGUGAGAGAGGAAGAUGCUUUAGUUGAAGACAAAUUAGAUUUUCAUUCUAUGCAAGAUAUAAAAUCAGUCUCCGCAGACAAGAUAAAAAAUAUUACCUGCAUUUAUUUUUAUGAUGGCUGUUGUGUUCGCAGAUGGACUGCAAGAAAAGUUACCUAUCUUAAUAACACAAAAUACGCUCAGGUUAAUAUUCAGUAAGUAUCUAAUACCUUUCUCAUAAGAAAGUUUUGGAAUGAUUGAAGUUGAAACUAACUGUACA